rnacentral:rRNA from 1 species
UGGGGAAUAUUGGGCAAUGGGCGAAAGCCUGACCCAGCAACGUCGCGUGAGGGAAGAAGGUUUUCGGAUUGUAAACCUCUGUCCUUGGUGACGAAGGAAGUGACGGUAGCCAAGGAGGAAGCCCCGGCUAACUACGUGCCAGCAGCCGCGGUAAUACGUAGGGGGCGAGCGUUAUCCGGAUUUACUGGGUGUAAAGGGAGCGCAGACGGCAUGGCAAGCCAGAUGUGAAAGGUGGGGGCUCAACCCCCAAGCUGCAUUUGGAACUGUCAAGCUAGAGUAUCGGAGAGGUAAGUGGAAUUCCUAGUGUAGCGGUGAAAUGCGUAGAUAUUAGGAGGAACACCAGUGGCGAAGGCGGCUUACUGGACGAUAACUGACGUUGAGGCUCGAAAGCGUGGGGA